rnacentral:rRNA from 1 species
AUUGAACGCUGGCGGCAUGCCUUACACAUGCAAGUCGAACGGCAGCACGGACUUCGGUCUGGUGGCGAGUGGCGAACGGGUGAGUAAUGUAUCGGAACGUACCCUUCAGUGGGGGAUAACUAUCCGAAAGGAUAGCAAAUACCGCAUAUUCUCUGAGGAGGAAAGCAGGGGAUUGGAAGACCUCGCGCUGAUUGAGCGGACGAUGUCAGAUUAGCUAGUUGGUGAGGUAAAGGCGCACCAAGGCGACGAUCUGUAGCGGGUCUGAGAGGAUGAUCCGCCACACUGGAACUGAGACACGGUCCAGACUCCUACGGGAGGCAGCAGUGGGGAAUUUUGGACAAUGGGGGCAACCCUGAUCCAGCCACACCGCGUGAGUGAAGAAGGCCUUCGGGUUGUAAAGCUCUUUCGGCCGGGAAGAAAUCGCACGGGCUAAUACCCUGCGUGGAUGACGGUACCGGAAUAAGAAGCACCGGCUAACUACGUGCCAGCAGCCGCAGUAAAAC